AGCGUCGUGCUUAUACUCUGCCGUCGGGACAGUAGUGAUAUCUUUACCACUCUACGGAGUGUAAAAUAUCGUCAGGUCUCGACGAGUAGGUGGGCCGCGGCGGUGAGCGCAGAAGGACUGGGCGUAGGCCCGUCUGGAGCCGCCGUCGGUGCAGAUCUUGGUGGUAGUAGCAAAUACUCCAGCGAGGCCCUGGAGGACUGACGUGGAGAAGGGUUUCGUGUGAACAGCCGUUGCACACGAGUCAGUCGAUCCUAAGCCCUAGGAGAAAUCCGAUGUUAAUGCAGUUGUGUCUUUAUUAUAUGAUGACGUUACGUUUAGUGUGAGAGUUUCAAACAGUUGGACGUUCAUACUUUGAUACAGACUAUAUACAAUAAUGCUGACUGAUUUAUCUGAUACUACUAUCACUGGCACUCGCUUCGUUCACUACUGAAUGUUCUCUCUCGAUUAAAGUGAAGCUCACUAUUGCUACUGUUUCCACAGUUAGUCGUAGACUCUCGCUUUGUCUCUUGGGAUGUUCAGCACAGCGUUGUGUUUGUUCUGUUGGUUUUGUAGAUGAUAGUUGAAACACUUUAUUGCUGUAGAUAAGUGUCUUUCUGUCUCUAUCCGCUAAUGGUUGACAAAUCGUUGUUAGAGAAGUAUCACACUCAUUGGGCGAAAGGGAAUCCGGUUCCUAUUCCGGAACCCGGCAGCGGAACCGUUUACAAGUCGGGCCCUCUUUAGAGAGUUCGUCGGGGCAACCCAACAAGACCUGGAGACGCCGUCGGGAGAUCCGGGAAGAGUUUUCUUUUCUGUAUGAGCGUUCGAGUUCCCUGGAAUCCUCUAGCAGGGAGAUAGGGUUUGGAACGCGAAGAGCAUCGCAGUUGCGGCGAUGUCUGGAUCGUCCCCUCGGACCUUGAAAAUCCAGGAGAGGGCCACGUGGAGGUGUCGCGCCGGUUCU
rnacentral:rRNA from 1 species